AACUCUGGUGGAAGCCCGCA
rnacentral:snRNA from 1 species